UUCCGGUUGAUCCUGCCGGAGGUCACUGCUAUUGGGAUUCGACUAAGCCAUGCGAGUCGAGAGGGUUCGGCCCUCGGCUGACGGCUCAGUAACACGUGGAUAAUCUGCCCUAUGGUGGAGGAUAACCUCGGGAAACUGAGAAUAAUACUCCAUAGGUCUAGGAUACUGGAAUGUACCUAGGCUCAAAACUCCGGUGCCAUAGGAUGAGUCUGCGGACUAUCAGGUUGUAGUCAGGGUAAAGACCUGACUAGCCUACGACGGAUAUGGGUUGUGAGAGCAAUAACCCAGAGAUGAUAUCUGAGACACGAUAUCAGGCCCUACGGGGCGCAGCAGGCGCGAAAACUUCACAAUGUGCGAAAGCGCGAUGAGGGAAUCCCAAGUGCUUGCACGUAAGUGUAAGCUGUUUUUAUGUUUAAAACGCAUGGAGAGUAAGAGCUGGGUAAGACGGGUGCCAGCCGCCGCGGUAAUACCUGCAGCUCAAGUGGUGGCCGCUAUUAUUGGGCCUAAAACGUCCGUAGCCUGUUUAAUAAAUGCCUGGGUAAAUCGUGUAGCUUAACUAUACGAAUUCCGGGUAGACUGUUAAACUUGAGACCGGGAGAAGUUAGAGGUACUCCUGGGGUAGAGGUGAAAUUCUGUAAUCCUAGGGGGACCACCAGUGGCGAAGGCGUCUGACUAGAACGGGUCUGACGGUGAGGGACGAAGCCCUGGGGCGCAAACCGGAUUAGAUACCCGGGUAGUCCAGGGUGUAAACGCUGCUUGCUUGAUGUUAGUCGGGCUCCGAGCCCGAUUAGUGUCGGAGAGAAGUUGUUAAGCAAGCUGCCUGGGAAGUACGGUCGCAAGGCUGAAACUUAAAGGAAUUGGCGGGGAGCACAGCAACGGGUGGAGCGUGCGGUUUAAUUGGAAUCAACGCCGG
rnacentral:rRNA from 1 species